AUUGAACGCUGGCGGCAUGCCUUACACAUGCAAGUCGAACGGCAGCACGGGUGCUUGCACCUGGUGGCGAGUGGCGAACGGGUGAGUAAUACAUCGGAACAUGUCCUGUAGUGGGGGAUAGCCCGGCGAAAGCCGGAUUAAUACCGCAUACGAUCUACGGAUGAAAGCGGGGGACCUUCGGGCCUCGCGCUAUAGGGUUGGCCGAUGGCUGAUUAGCUAGUUGGUGGGGUAAAGGCCCACCAAGGCGACGAUCAGUAGCUGGUCUGAGAGGACGACCAGCCACACUGGGACUGAGACACGGCCCAGACUCCUACGGGAGGCAGCAGUGGGGAAUUUUGGACAAUGGGCGAAAGCCUGAUCCAGCAAGGCCGCGUGUGUGAAGAAGGCCUUCGGGUUGUAAAGCACUUUUGUCCGGAAAGAAAUCCUUGGCCCUAAUACGGUCGGGGGAUGACGGUACCGGAAGAAUAAGCACCGGCUAACUACGUG
rnacentral:rRNA from 1 species